AACGCACAUUGCGCUCCUUGGUAUUCCGGGGAGCAUGCCUGUUUGAGAAUCAGUAAAAUUCAUCAACCGUAGUUUCUGCUUAAUUGCUGACGCUGCGGUUGGAUAUGGGCAUUUUGCGCCUGGCGCAAUGGCCUUAAAUGUAAUGUCACGAACCCAAUGGCUUCUGGUCUGGUCGUUCAAGCAAUUGAUGGCUGUAUUAACUUACUCCUGUUUGCUUUUACUUGAUCGUUUGCCCUGCCGUCGGAACUUUGUGCUCAACCAUUAUCCAGGGACGAAAGUCUCUUGAACACUUGGUCUCAAAUCAGGUAGGAAAACCCGCUGAACUUAA
rnacentral:misc_RNA from 1 species